AUCGUCGCCGCGCGCCGUAUACUGUAUGCGCGACUGAAAGCAUGCGAGGGCGGGCCGGCGAACGCGGUUCACUCUCGCGCACGCAAGGGAGGAAGCGCACCGUCUUCCGUCGCGCGCAAGACUCCGGGGGCAGAGUGGGGACGGGGCUCCUACUCCGGGCGGCCGAGUGAGCCCGCCCGGGCCGCUGUAUCGUGAAAGCCACCUCCGACGGGGACAGUCCACAGUGCGCUGUGUUUUCGCGGCUUAGUUCGCGUUGAUGCGAGAGGCAGCGCGAAGGUCAAUCCCCUCGCCGUUGCUGCCGUGCUCCCUCACUCCAACGUUAUGACAACAACUUUGCACAAUCCUUGAGCGAGAUGUGUUCAUGUUUACCUGCGCGCGCGCGACACAGUGCUUGUAAAUUUAGUUAGUAUGCCUACGUUUGCAAGUUUAUACGGCCUGUAAAACUACUAUCCCUACUUCGUAUAAAGCUGUCCACUAAGUUGCUACGGCAAUCGAUGCUUCGCUUUCGGGCCAAACUGCGACUUCUUUUUUUCUUUUUCUGUCCUGUCAUGUCACGGCAAGAAAGGUGCAAAUAGAGGUACUGUGCGCGGUUAGAGCCUACAGCAGAACAGGAAUCCCGACAAAAGCAGGUUUUGUGUUUAUGAAUAAUGCAACUGGAGACAAAAAAAAAAAUAAAAAACGCAACAGAGCUGCCAAGCAUCACAAGAAAGGAAAUCUGGUUUGCUGAUCGUCAUCCAAUAGAAAAAAAAAUCGCAGUUUUGCCCAAAAGGCGAAUCACCGAUUGCGAUAGCAAAUUAGUAGAUAGUUAUACGAAGUAAAGAUAGUAGUGCCACGUCGCAGAUCGCUUUAGACACACGAGCGCCGGCAACGCGUCUCUACGGUGUCCGCCAUUCGCGUGUCCAACGCCGUGGUAGACGCCGCGGUUGUCUCCACUCUGCACGAAGCGGCGGGCGAGUACAUCGAGGCACCCUAGCAGCCGGCGAAGAAGAACGCCCCUCCUCCCUCGGCCUGACCCCCCCACCCCCCACCUCGCCCGCCACAGGAGAGGGCACGCAGCUGGGCGGCGGUCCUCACUCGCGCACGCGAGUUUGAACCGCGUUCGCCGGUUCACCUUCCCACGCUUUCACUCAUAGGGAACCUCACGGCGACAGCAGAAAUGCGCCUAGAGUGUCCAUAUCAUUGAUAUCGCAAUACAACAAAAGUCGGGACACUCGGCCAUCCCGACUGGGUCAAGUCGGGGCCGUCUCGCUUUUCUCACGUGAAAGACUCAUGUGCUUAGCAAAUGUAUGCUUAGCAAGUGUUUAGCAUAUGUCUAGCAAGUGCUUAGCAUAUGCUUAGCAAGUGUAAAGGCAGGAAAACAUGACAUUUUAAUUCGAUAGUAAUGUAGGUCUCGAAACGCGCCGCACCUUGCGUCGUAGACAUUGUCGGGACAUGGCGAAAUUUGCUCGCGUCGUGUAGCAAUAAGGUUAUAUGUAUAGUAGCGUACGUUGCGCACAACAAGGAAUGAACAAGAGUUGGGAAUGUCGUGCCAGCACUUCUAAUUUUGUCCACGGGAGGGUUCUGUACCGUGCACCCAGACUUCAGCACAUGGCGCUUUUGCAUGCGGCCACUAUGGGAAUGAAUCGAACCUCCACCUCGCAACUACUCGAACAUAUAAGCCCCAAGUCACCCGCGACCGCAGCGCAACGGAGCUCGAACAUACUUUCAAAACAAAUCUGUGAAUUUUGUGCGAGAUUCAGCUGGCUGUCAAUUGUUACGACUGGCUCUUCCCGAGGGGCUGAAUUACUGCCAGUCAGGUCAACAUCGGAUGGCUCUAGAGAACCCCGCGUGACGUACGAUAACACGAAAGAUUCUUGGGUGGACGGCUGCCUGCAAAUCACCAGCAGUGUGCGCGUACAGCGUUGUGAUUACAAUAGAUUGUAUAGAUAAUUACUCAUUACAAAUCGACGCUAAUUGGAUGCUUUCGCGGUCGGUUCGGCUAAACUAAGCAAAUAGACCAACUGUGCCGAGAUGCAGACACACAAUGUCUAAUCAGUAUUAGCCAACGCCCUUUUUUUCCAUUUGGUUCAAAUGAUAACAAGAAUCGGUGAGAUUUUGCAUUUUGCUUGCACGACGUCAUUAUGCAUUAGCAAUAAAGUUAGCAUUCUUUUCUUCUAACUGGUAAGACAUCUGUAUUGCGAAAAAUAGAUUUCAUUGGCAGCUGUUGCAUUUACUUUGAGAUUCUAUGCAGAUUCUUAGCAGUUGGACACGGACACGUUGUUUGUUUGCGCGGAACUCAAGUCAUGCAGCGUUCUGCACUUUAAAAUCUUUCGGGAAUCGCUAUCAGAAACGAGUUCGGUGCACACAACGACAAUGGCAUAACAGUUACGUAAUGUAUUACCCACGAAUCAAUGCUUGCUCAACCGCACCGUUAUAUGGAUGAUGUAUCAUCGGAACGUCGAGUUGGAACAAAAACUGGUGCCAUAUGAUAGUUUGCUGAAACGAGAUCCCUCUAAGCACGUACAUGUGGUAUUUUAUAACAUUUCGGCUCACGUGCCGUUGAAGGGUAUAAGAGGGCACAUUUGCUAAGACGAGACGUUCACCUCCUGAACUUUUCUUUUUAUUUCUUUUUUUUUUUUUUUUUAUGCAACACGACCAGGGACUUCGCGAUAAAGCCGAUUUUCUCCUCGCCUAUGAAGACUCCAGUGUAAUCGCGAAACUUCCGGCGUAUUCGUCAAUUUCAGUUUGUGCGUCUCAAUUACGAAUUUAAGGUUUUUCGUCGAGCCUGUGGUUAGCACACUUUUGCUCACGUGUGUGCAAACGCGUGUGAUGACGUAAGCACGAAAGACUUACGACAGUUCACUUCCUGCUCAGUCUACCCCUUGGGGACGAUCGCUGGUUUCGCUGCAUGCGAACGGUGCGUAUAAAAAAAAAUGCACCCCGAAACACACGGCGCUGCACUGCACUGUCAUGCACGUUAUUUGCAAGCUUGUGAAGGCAUGCUGCGUUCAAAUUUGCCAGCGCACCAAGACGAGUGUUCCGUGCAUAUUCGCACGUGCGCGAAGUGGUCCGCUUAGAGCUUCUGUUUCGCAGAGACGCGCAUGUGACAUGUCAGGCGGAACGGUUCUUCCGAACGUCCGAACGGUGGCUGACAGAAAAUGCUGUCAAACACGCCCCAACGUACGGUGACAGGCGACCGUGCCACUGGAGUUGACACCUGCGCCAAGCGUACACACACCGGACGGGACACGCGCGCGAUCCGGGCAAUUUAGCGCGUAGGCUCGCGCAGUACCGAAAUUCGAUGCCCCCAGGGGCGCGCAAACGUCGUUUACGCUCUACGAGAUUAGCAAAUGCGAUCGCAAAUGUGCUUUUGUUUUAUUUUCUUUGCAGCGGGCUUGUCAAGCAUCGAUCUCUAUCGCUAGUGCGGAGGAUGGCGAGAGAAAAGAGAAGCAAUUGCUGGCCGGGUCCCAGGCGGCAGUUGCGGUUUGUGCACCAGAGGGAGAGAAACAAAUGCGGACCGCAAGCUCGGCAACAACCGCAUGCAACCGUCUGGUCGACGUACCGUUGGUGCGGGACCUUUGCUUCCCUCCGGGAUGCUUGGCAGGAUCAGCGGGUCCACGAGCACUUGCGUCAUACUGCCGAGUACCGGGGCCAAGUGGCGACGGCUGUGCGGUCCAUGACACGAGAGACGGCACGAUGCACAGCGAAAGAAGCGCAGGAGUGCGCUCGCGCGGGGCAGCACUGCACUUGGCGACGGACGGACGCCGCUGUGACUUUUUUGGGAGGAGCGGAAGUGGUGCUGCCAUCUGCAGGCGAGUGGCGGCACGGCUUCGCGACAAUUUGCGACCUCCGAGAUUGCCGACUCAGAGUUGCGUUCGAAAGAUACAGAGACUACAGAGGUUCGCAGUCAGAUAAAAACUCCAAGUGAUCAACUGGUCUAACAAGGGAUGUCUAAGUGUGACAACGUCGACUCUGAGUUGUGUUCGGGAAGCGCUGGCUUUAAAGAUAUUUCUUUUUUUUUUUUACCCACUGUCGAUGUCGGAGGUUACGGUGUAGUCAUUGAACGUCUCGGAGGCUGUAUAUUAAGUUUAUGUUUAGGAACCUCAAGGUCUGAGUGUCCGCAUUUCGUAGCAAUCACUUGUAAUACAGGAACAUAUUUUUUUUUUCUUUCUUUUGGCCCCUAGUGUGUAUUUUUUAUCUAACAAAAGCUGAUUUGUGCUAGAUGUAUUUCCUAGCGCUUCAUUAUGCGAGAAGCUUAGCGGGCAAUUCAAAUUUUUCCAGAACGUGUCCAGAAUUUGUCAUGAGGUUGACCUCAACGUCAUGAAGUGCAGUUAUGAUGGCGUUUGUUAAAAAUUCUAGCUAGCACUCGCCGGAAGUUUACGAGGUCAAAUUUAGUAUCAUUCCCCAGCUUCUUAUGCGCAUUUUUGCUCCUCCUGAACGAAUGAGUCUGUGCGAUUCAGUAGAUGUAUGAAUUUUUACAACUUUAGAAUCGUAGGUUUACACGUAGGUAUAGUUUACUCAAGCCAUAAAAUCUUUGGCACAGCAUGGCACAUAGGUGAAACCUCUUACUGAACAAAAUUCACUAUGUCGUGGUUUUAAGCAAGUUUACCAGAGGCACCAGGACCUUUACCCGAGUUCACUCGUGGGAAUCACAAUAAAUAACAGUGUACAGUCGCGGGCACUAUGGGCUGCAACGCCCUUGGUUGACGGGGCCCCAAGAUAACGCCGGCGCCGACAAACGAAAGCUUUUCAUGAACACCAUGCAUUAAUCGGAAUGGUGUUCAGUUCCAAUUUUUUGUAAUGUCAGUGCCUGCGCGUGUAGUCAACCAGGGGCACAUGUGUUACAGGCCAUAGUGCACGCGACUGUAGCCAACAUAGAGUUCCCGAACUACUGAAAUGAAGUAGAGUUUCAGGACUCACUACUUUAUUUAUGACAAGGUUGGGCCAGGUUGAGCCGAUGGCUCCUGAACACAACCCCGCAGGCUAAGGUACGUUGAGUGAGGUCAUCAAACCUGACUGGAGGCCGUGAUCGGUUUGAGCCUAGUGGCAUCGUUAGCCGGACUUUUGUGCUGCAGGUUCCAAGUGCCAUUCACUGGCACCUAGAUGUUCAAGGUGACAUGCGAUGGCAUCUCAUUCCAUAUUCCCCCUUUCCAUUCCUUUUUGCCCGACACUAAAGGGACACUAAACAAAAGAUAUAGGUUCGACUGUAUUAGCAAAAUGCACACGCACACAAAGGUAGACUUUCUGUGAGAUCUUGAUCAACCAAGACGCAAAAACGAAAGAGCCGCGGCGCCGCUGCCGUCCAGUUUCCGUACCAGUUCGCCGUGACGUCAUGAAUUUUAACUGCGUCUGCUCGGCACUAUUCCGAUUUUUUCGUAUCGGUUAAUACUGCACUACAUCGCAACCUAUAGGAGCCGAAGGCUGAACACUUGAGAAAUUUCGAGACCUUGUACUACGCCACAACGGCUAGAAUAGGAUGAUACGUUUGUAAUCAAUGACGUCACGCCGACGUACUCGCGCUGGACUAAAAAAAAAAAACUGGAUUUUCAUUUUUUUUUUUUUUUUGCAGUCUUGAAACUUUCAUAGUGAAUUUACCGAAGAUGGGGCGUUGAAAGGAUUCUUUUCUCAGCCUAAACUGUUUUGGCGUUUCAAAUGUUUUGCCCGCUCAAGGUACAAAAGGGCAAAUUUCUGUAACUGCUGUUUAAAGCUUGCUCUUCAAAAGCAUGAAAAAAAUGGAAGAACUUGUUGCUGGACUAGCUAGUUGGUGCACAACAGUAAACAACUAUGGUUUCGCCCAAAACAGACAACCACAGAAGGCAUACACAAGACAGUCAGGAAAGCACCUGUCCCGUCUAUAUGUGAAUUCCUUCUGUGGUCAUCACCUGCUUCGGGCUAAAAUGUUAUUACUGUCAAUGGAUGAUGAACUUGCCCAAGCCAUGCUUUUCUCAGGACUUUGUUGCUUGAUUACAGGAUAUAUGUCCUGAAUAUCCCCCGCGCCCUUCCCAUGACCAGUUGCCGAUGCAAGAAGUGUACAGUCAAGAACUUGUAAACAACCUUAUGCUUAUUUGGACAAUGGCAAAAUAAAGAACAAAAUCGUAAAUGCUUGCGGAAAACAUGCACAAACUCCACAGGCAAAAAUGGAGCCAAAAUGCACUUGCUUUCACUUUUUAUUUCCGUUUUUUGCCAUUUGCAAAAUGCCACGUAGAGUUUCUUUUCGUCAGUGUCUGUGCAUGUCCCCAUCGUUCAUGUUUGCAUGAAUGCUUUUUUUUUUCUUUCUUACAAGUGCGUAGUCGCACCAAAAUCAUGGAUCACCAGGUAGCCCGCCAGUACUUAUUGAGCACCUUAGUCCCCAGUCUGCGUAUCCGUCGUGUCCUUCCGUACUCGAAUCCAUCAUUCAUAUAUUUAUCAUCAGCUUGCACUUUUAGAGCAGCACUGCACGACAUCCCAAGUCUGCAACAUCCAAUGUGAAGUCCCAAUUGCUUUGGCUCACCUGAACAUCCCUAGGACUUAUCACUGGGACGCCUGCCAUCGUAACCGGCACACUCGUAACCUUCUACUAGAGGGUCUGAAGGCAACAUUUCCACAUGCCUAAAGGGACACUAUACACAGACGUAUGAAUGUUAACUUUAUUGUACGAGUAAAUUGUGCUUCUGCAACACAAAAUUAGCCGCUCUAAUCCCAAAGGGAGGCGUGUAUAGCCUGAACACAAGAAUGACGUGCGACGCGAUGCCACCCUAUGAAGUUCUCGCACCAGCUUGGCGAGUUGUCGGGCGUCGACAGUGUCUACUCGAAAAAUCUGUUACACUGACGUCCUGUCGCUGAAGAUUUAGAACAAACACUAAGAAACGAGAAAUUUGGCUUUCAUUUUUGUUUCGGUAAUCAACCUUUUUUUUGGCCAAAAUAAAUGAAACAUGGUCUUCAAAGAACUGCUGCUCGUUCGUGUCCCUAUAAUGCAAAACUGUUUCACUGGCAUUAAUAUUUAGUGAAAUUGUGACUCGUACGAUACCGCACAAGCCUGUUUGCCUGCUAGAGUACAAAAGGAUUAUCCAACAUGACCCACUGACAAUUACGUGACUAGUGAAGUAGUAUUGUUAGCUAACAGCUGUUUAUUGUGUGAGAAAGAGUAGGGCUUUAGCAAAGCUCAGUGAUCGCAUGAGAUUUGGCAUGCCUAAGCUUUCCUAGGCCUUUACGCUUAGUUGCAGUGCUUUCAUGUCCCAGCUGAGCCAGAUGAGGAAAAGAGUGACACAGAAAUCUUUUGUUUCUUCCCACUAAUGUCAUGUCACAAGCUUUAUAUGUAUCAUGGGUGUUUCUUCUCCCUUCCUGCAAAUCAACAUCAGCGUGUCACGGAAAUCCAUAGCAACAGUGUGCGCUGUCAUUCCAUGACACACCAAUAAAACAUGCACCAGUAAGUUCAAAACAUCUCUUUAAUAUAUACACAGGGCAGUGGACCCAAGAGUAUGUACAAAUGCCAUGAGACAGGCGUAAGAAAACGAUUUCCAUUCUCUCUUUUUUUU